rnacentral:snoRNA from 1 species
UAUGCUGAUGAUAACCAUUUUAACAACAACGAAUUUCUUCAACCGAGACAUAAGAUGAGGAUAAAAAUUUGACAGCUUUUUAACCCUGAUA